rnacentral:rRNA from 1 species
UACGUAGGGUGCAAGCGUUAAUCGGAAUUACUGGGCGUAAAGCGUGCGCAGGCGGUUAUGCAAGACAGAUGUGAAAUCCCCGGGCUCAACCUGGGAACUGCAUUUGUGACUGCAUGACUAGAGUACGGUAGAGGGGGAUGGAAUUCCGCGUGUAGCAGUGAAAUGCGUAGAUAUGCGGAGGAACACCGAUGGCGAAGGCAAUCCCCUGGACCUGUACUGACGCUCAUGCACGAAAGCGUGGGGAGCAAACAGG